rnacentral:rRNA from 1 species
AGUGAACGCUGGCGGUAGGCCUAACACAUGCAAGUCGAACGGCAGCACAGUAAGAGCUUGCUCUUACGGGUGGCGAGUGGCGGACGGGUGAGGAAUACAUCGGAAUCUACUUUUUCGUGGGGGAUAACGUAGGGAAACUUACGCUAAUACCGCAUACGACCUACGGGUGAAAGCAGGGGAUCUUCGGACCUUGCGCGAUUGAAUGAGCCGAUGUCGGAUUAGCUAGUUGGCGGGGUAAAGGCCCACCAAGGCGACGAUCCGUAGCUGGUCUGAGAGGAUGAUCAGCCACACUGGAACCGAGACACGGUCCAGACUCCUACGGGAGGCAGCAGUGGGGAAUAUUGGACAAUGGGCGCAUGCCUGAUCCAGCCAUACCGCGUGGGUGAAGAAGGCCUUCGGGUUGUAAAGCCCUUUUGUUGGGAAAGAAAAGCAGCAGGUUAAUACCCCGCUGUUCUGACGGUACCCAAAGAAUAAGCACCGGCUAACUUCGUG